rnacentral:lncRNA from 10 species
UGGAUCUCAAAAGACUUUAUUGGGGGUGGAAUGGGAGGGGGUGACAUGCACAGGAUGAGAAAAUUCAUUCCAUCCAGGACAACGUAGGGACUCCAUGGAAAAGGGCCUGUUUUCCAUCCCGGGUCUUCAAAGGAAAAGCUCUCCAGCCAGUUCUGAGAGCCGAGGAAGCAGGAAGGAGCUGUGAGAGACUGAGCUCUAACCUUGGCCAUCAAAGACAAGCUGUGCAGCUCUGGUUUUUUGAGGGCAGGACAUGGAGGGUCAGGCCCAGCUGGAGGCGCACCAAAGCCCAGAGAAAAUUCAGAACCACGUGAACUUGUUGGAUUUCAGCCCCUUGAAGCACAUGUUGCUAUUGCAGCUGCCUUGAUAACUGGGGGGACAGGAGGAGCACGGCUUUCCCAUCUUGUACGGGGACUCGCCAAUCCAGUUGCCCCUGGAAGAGAAAAGGACCCAGGGAGACAGAGGAGCAUUAGGACUCAUUCAAUCAUUUAGUCAUUCAACAAACACUUCUGGAGCACCUAUUGAACAUCAGGAUUUGUGCCGGCUGCUGUCAGUCCACAGUUCUCAAAAGGUGCUCUCAGAAGUUUGGGGGCGGGGAGAGUGGGUGGUGGUGAUACCUGGGAUGACAUGGAGUUCUUUUUUUGUUUAAUUUAACCACUUAGAAAAAAGUUCUGCUUAAAAAAACAAAGGAUUGCAAUCACUAUAGUAGAAGGAUAUAGAAAUGAAAACGGUCGAUUUCCCAUGCCCAAGAGUUUAUAACUUGGUUCUAGUCAUGGCCACCAUUUAUUUAGCAUGUACUAUGGGCAAGGCACCACAGAGGCUAUUUUUAUUUUAUUUUAUUUUAUUUUAUUUUAUUUUAUUUUAUUUAUUUUAUUUUAUUUUACUUUGAGAUAGAGUCUCGCAUUGUCGCCCAGGCUAGAGUGCAGUGGCAUGAUCUCAGGUCACUGCAGACUCCGCCUCCCGGGUUCAAGCGAUUCUCCUGCCUCAGGGACGCACCUCCAUGCCCGACUAAUUUUUGUGCUUUUAGUAGAGAUGGGAUUUCACUAUGUUGGCCAGGCUGGUCUCGACCUCCUGACCUCAGGUGAUCCACUUGCCUCGGCCUCUCAGAGUGCUGGGAUUACAGGCGUGAGCCACCACACCUGGCCUCACAUUAUAUUUUAAUCCUUAAAUUCUGUGAGCAGGUAGCAUUUACCUUAAAGGGGCUGGGCUUGGUGGCUCGUGCCUGUAGUCCCAGCACUUUGGGAGACUGAGGUGGGCAGAUUGCUUGAGCCCAGGAGUUCCAGACUAGCCUGGGCAACAUGGCGAGACCCCCGUCUCUACAAAAAACAAAAACAAAAAACAAAACAUAAGCCAGGUGUGGUGGUGAACGCCUGUAGUCCCAGCUACUGGGGAGGCUGUGGUGUGAGGAUUGCUCGAACCAGGAACGUGGAGGUUGCAGAGCUGAGAUUCUGCCACUGCACUCCAGCCUGGGUGACAGAGCUGGACAGAAGAAAAGAAAGGAAAGGAAAGGAAAGGAAAGGAAAGGAAAGGAGAAAGGGAAAAGGAGAAAGGGGAAAAGGGAAAGGAAAAAGGGAAAAGGAAAGGGGAAGGAAAGAAAGGAAGGGGAAGGGGAAGGCCGAAGCCUGUCAAGAUAAAAUGAUGUAUUCAAAUGCUUAGUAGAUGCAUUGCAGAGGGGAAUCAAACCUAGGCCUGGUAAUAACAAUAGUAACCAAUCUGUAUUUCCCACUUAUGAGCCUGGGGGCAUUACCUGUGUUAUCUCACUCAAUUCCAAGAUUGGGUAUUAUUUUAUUCCCAUUUUGCAGAUGAAGAAACAGGAGUAGAGAAGUUAAGUAAGAUCACACAUUUGAACCCUGGUAGUCUUGGCCCCAGAGGCUAAAAAUCUUAACAACUAUACUGAUAACACUCAAUGCUUCAAACAUUUGAUAUGUCAACAAACAAACUAGAAAACUUGAGCCUGGGAGGUUGAGGCUGCCGUGAGCUGUGACCAUGCCACUGUACUUCCGAGCCUAGGUAACACAGCAAGACCCUGCCUCCAAAAAAAAAAAAAAAAAAAAAAAAAUUAGACGCUAUUUGUAAUGAAAUUUGGUUUCUUGUAUUUUUCUGUCUCUGAUAAAGCUGGGCUGUAACGUGACACAUUGUCAAUAGAUGCCAUUUCUAACAAAUAACAAGUAUCCUGUUUUGAGAAUUUGUUUCAGGCUACUAAUGACUUCAAGAACAUCAGAAUAAUACAAUAGAAAGAAUUUGGAAUUUGGAAUCAAAAGACUGAUUCUUCUGAACCAGCUCUACUACUUGUUGGCUUUGUGACAUUUGGUAAAUUACUCAACCUGCCUGAGCCUCAAUUUCUUAAUUUGUAAAAAGAAUGUCCUCCUAGGGUUCCCCCCUUUUUCCUUCUUUCUUUCAUCUCUUCAAUGAGAUAGUGUGAAAGUAGUUUGUAAAUGAUUAAAGGCUAUGUGACAGUAAAAUGUGGUUAUUAUAUAAUUUUGGAAUUCUAGGGCAGGCACGGUGGGUGGCUCACACCUAUAAUCCCAGCACUUUGGGAGUCCAAGUAGGGAGAUUGCUUGAGGCCAGGAGUUCAAGACCAGCCUAGGCAACAUAAUGAGCCCCCCAUCUCUACAAAAAUGUUAAAAAUUAGCCAGGUGUAAUGGUGCAUGCCUGUACUCCCAGCUACUCAGGAGGGUGAGGCGGGAGGAUUGCUUGAACCCAGGAGUUGGAGGCUGCAGUGAGCUAUGAUCUGGCUAUUGCACUCCAGCCUGGGCGACAGAGCAAGACCUCGUCCCCCCCCAAAAAAAAAAGAAAAAAGAAAAAAAGAAAUUCUAAAUAUCAUGUUUACUUAGAAUUUGUUCUUGUUUUGUUUUUGUUGUUGUUGUUGUUUGAGACGGAGUCUUGCUCUGUUGCCCAGGCUGGAAUGCAGUGGUGUGAUCUCAGCUCGCUGCAACCUCCACUUCUGAGGCUCAAGCGAUUCUCCUGCCUCAGCCUCCCAAGUAGCUGGGAUUACAGGCACGCGCCACCAUGCCCAGCUAAUUUUGGUAUUUUUGGUAGACACGAGGUUUUGCCAUGUUGGCCAGGCUGGUCUCAAACUCCUAACCUCAGGUGAUUCACUCGCCUCAGCCCCCCAAAGUGCUGGGAUUGCAGGUGUAAGACACUGCUCCUGGCCUGUUCUUGUUUUUCUAUGAGAAUCUGGAACGUCUGCAAGUUUCAUUACGCUUGCUCCCUGUUUCCAAGAGGCUUGUAUGCAGGCAUCUCCUAAACUCUCCCACCCAGCAAACUGGAGAAGCUAAGCACACUCAUUCCUCCUUCCUUUUCUUUGGGAUCUGCCUGCCUGCAGGGAGCAUGUGUUCUUGGCUGUAUUUUUCUUGUCGUAAGCUUAGAGGGCUGGCACUGUACUUCUAAGAAGGGGCCUUUGGCUAUCCAGUGUUACCUGCCACUGGAUGUGUAGGUCUAAUUCAGUAGUGAGAUAUUUGUAAGCCUAGUUGGCUGGUGUAUUGGCAGAUGUAAGCCAC